GUGGUUUUAACUCAGUGGUAGAGCGCUUGCCUAGCAUGUGUGAGGCACUGGGUUCAAUCCUCAACAUCACA
rnacentral:tRNA from 1 species